AGCAGCCGCGGUAAUUCCAGCUCCAAUAGCGUAUAUUAAAGUUGUUGCAGUUAAAAAGCUCGUAGUUGAAUUUCGGGAUCAAUGCGUCGGUCGUGCCUUCGGUACGUACUAGCGUCAUUGAUUCCUCCCUUCUGAAGAACCGUGAUGUCAUUAAUUUGGUGUUACGGGGAACCAGGACUGUUACCUUGAAAAAUUAGAGUGUUUAAAGCAGGCUAACGCUUGAAUACAUUAGCAUGGAAUAAUGAAAUAGGACGUUCGAACCUAUUUUGUUGGUUUCUAGGAUCGACGUAAUGAUUAAUAGGGAUAGUUGGGGGCAUUAGUAUUCAAUUGUCAGAGGUGAAAUUCUUGGAUUUAUUGAAGACUGACUACUGCGAAAGCAUUUGCCAAGGAUGUUUUCAUUAAUCAAGAACGAAAGUUAGGGGAUCGAAGACGAUCGGAUACCGUCGUAGUCUUAACCAUAAACUAUGCCGACUAGGGAUCGGAUGAUGUUAAUUUUAUAAUGAC
rnacentral:misc_RNA from 1 species